rnacentral:rRNA from 1 species
AGUGGGGAAUAUUGCACAAUGGGCGCAAGCCUGAUGCAGCGACGCCGCGUGAGGGAUGGAGGCCUUCGGGUUGUAAACCUCUUUUAUCGGGGAGCAAGCGAGAGUGAGUUUACCCGUUGAAUAAGCACCGGCUAACUACGUGCCAGCAGCCGCGGUAAUACGUAGGGUGCAAGCGUUAUCCGGAAUUAUUGGGCGUAAAGGGCUCGUAGGCGGUUCGUCGCGUCCGGUGUGAAAGUCCAUCGCUUAACGGUGGAUCGGCGCCGGGGACGGGCGGGCUUGAGUGCGGUAGGGGAGACUGGAAUUCCCGGUGUAACGGUGGAAUGUGUAGAUAUCGGGAAGAACACCAAUGGCGAAGGCAGGUCUCUGGGCCGUUACUGACGCUGAGGAGCGAAAGCGUGGGGAGCGAACAGGAUUAGAUACCCUGGUAGUCCACGCCGUAAACGGUGGAUGCUGGAUGUGGGGCCCGUUCCACGGGUUCCGUGUCGGAGCUAACGCGUUAAGCAUCCCGCCUGGGGAGUACGGCCGCAAGGCUAAAACUCAAAGAAAUUGACGGGGGCCCGCACAAGCGGCGGAGCAUGCGGAUUAAUUCGAUGCAACGCGAAGAACCUUACCUGGGCUUGACAUGUUCCCGACGGUCGUAGAGAUACGGCUUCCCUUCGGGGCGGGUUCACAGGUGGUGCAUGGUCGUCGUCAGCUCGUGUCGUGAGAUGUUGGGUUAAGUCCCGCAACGAGCGCAACCCUCGCCCCGUGUUGCCAGCGGAUUAUGCCGGGAACUCACGGGGGACCGCCGGGGUUAACUCGGAGGAAGGUGGGGAUGACGUCAGAUCAUCAUGCCCCUUACGUCCAGGGCUUCACGCAUGCUACAAUGGCCGGUACAACGGGAUGCGACGCGGCGACGCGGAGCGGAUCCCUGAAAACCGGUCUCAGUUCGGAUCGCAGUCUGCAACUCGACUGCGUGAAGGCGGAGUCGCUAGUAAUCGCGAAUCAGCAACGUCGCGGUGAAUGCGUUCCCGGGCCUUGUACACACCGCCCGUC